rnacentral:lncRNA from 1 species
UUUUUUUUUUUUUUGGGUACUCUCAGUGUUAUAAGAAGCUAAUUGAAUAGUGAGUAAAAAGAAUCUUUGCUUGCUAUCUUUUAACCGCAUUUGAUGAUAUGCGAAAGUAUGUUGAAGGGAAAACAUGUUUUAAGUGUACACAAAAGUUACAGAAAUAAUAAUAAUGAUAAUAUUAAUAAUAAUUUUGUCAUCACAAGAUCAGUUGAAAUAAGAUAAGAGUUAUGGUCUUGAAGUAUGUUGAGCGUAGCCCUACACAUUGAUACCAAUUUCACAAGUUGGUUGAGAUUGUUAGGAGACAAACUCAACUAGUUAAGGCCCAACCUUCCUAGCUACAAUUUUUUUUUUUUUUGGGUAGCGACAUAGGUUUAAUCAUAUUGUAGUAGGACUAAUAUCCCUUUGCAGGGUUAUGCAAAGAUUAAAAAAUCCCCAAAUAACGUCCCUAUACUUUAGACUAAUCUGGAAUUUGGAUGGAACCGUUUGUCUAAAUGAAAGUUUGUGAAAUUUCAAUAUUUCCCUAUUUAAUUAUAUUAUCAUUUUUAUAUUUAAAAUUCUUAUUUUUCCUAUUUGCGUUUUUUUUUUCUUGUUUCCCCUUUUCUUCUUCCACCAUCAUCACCAGACCCAAACUUUUCCUAUCUCUGUCGUCUCUCAAGCUAUCACCAUGGUCCGCCGCUCCUUCACAAACUCCUCCCAUCACCACCACUACUGCGACCUUUUAAUUGAAAAGCAAAUCAAGACAAGACCCAAGAUUUUGCUUUCUAAAUCCUCUUAGAGCUUCCGUAUCUAUAGACGAAUAUACCACUAUCAUCACCCAAAAUCGAAAGACUCCGUGAAUGAACAAUAAAUCUCCAGCACCCCAAGAAAUUCACAUUCCACCCACUUUAGUACUAGUGGUGCCACUGCCAAUUCAAGGUUCAUCAUUGUCAUCAUCAUUCUUGGUCGCAGAAGAUUAAUGCACAAGCAAAGGAAAAAAGGAAGAAACAGGUUUAAGCGUGCAAAAUAUAAAACUCUAAUAAAGAUUUUCAUGAAACAGAACUAUGCAAAUGCAGUUUUUCCUCAGGAUUCCUUUCAAAUGACAACUUAGAAAAUGAACUUAAAACAAAUAUAUGAUUGAUAUAUCAGCAUACUUAAGGUGGAUAAUAUAACUCAUUUUGCUUCAUGUUUCAAAUCUUGGCAUCAUCCUGCAACAAAAGACAUUGGAAAGAUUAUUUGAGUGGAGCAAACUUGAUC